CAGCUAUAAGAAAUGCUUGAUUACAGGUAAAGCAAAUUGAUUCCUUCGUGCCAAACAGAGUUGGAGUUUUGGUUCCAAUUUUAGAGUUGUCUUCAGGGAUUAUUGAGUAACUUUUUAACUUUGAAUUUGCUAGUAUAUUUCUUAUAGGAAGGGCAUCUUUGGGAAUUGGGAAAGGUAUAUUAAAUUGUGACUAAAAGGAAACCUUUUUACUAGUAUACUUUGUGGCAGGAUUUAUUGUAACUUUGAAUCUCCCAAUGAUUUUUAUUGUUGCUUUAUGAUGUAGAGGCUGCUGUGAGUUAUGAGAUUGGAGUCAUUUUCAGAUUGAGCAUUAAGAUCCAGUUGCAUCUGAUGCAUUCCAUGAAUGGUAACCGCCGAUGAUUCAGAUCGAGUCUCCAUUUGGAACUGGGAACACCGCCAAUGCUGCUCUGCUCUCUGCUCGCCCAGUCUUCGUCAAGAAUUUGCUUCAAUAUAUGUUCAAUUCAGUCGCAGAUGUUAGGUUCUCUAUUUGACAUCAAUUUGUUUUUUUCUCUUCUAUCAGAAGAUUAAUAACUUUUAUUAGAAGAUACUUAUGUAGGAUACAAUAUUUUGGUUUUUUAUAGUUUAUUAG